UCUAUCCACACCUUGGUUCUUAUCCUCUCCAUCACCAACCCUCCAAUUUUUGUUUCUUCAAGAAAGACAAGACACCAAAAUCCCUUUUCUCUCACAAUAUCCAUUCACUUUAUCAAUCACCAAGAUUUGCCUAGGUUGAACCCCAAACAACUCUACAUGAUUGAGGUUGUUUAUAUCAUGUACAAAUUGAGGAACUUGAGACACGGGUUGGUCUACGGUUUGAACUCCUGAAGUCGUACUGGAUUGUGGUAUUCUAAAAGGUUGAGGAAAUGUCCGAGAACAUGCUUGAGGUUGACCAUUGGAGAUAAAGUUUUGGGAGCUUAAAGGAAGAUCACAUUUGCAUAUAGGCAUCUAUAUUUUAUAGUAUUUUGGGACAUGUAUAUGAUCUAUGGGGUGCUUGUGUAUGGGCAUUUAUGUAUUUAUUUGUGAGGGUUGAUCCAUUCAUGACACCAUGGGUUAUAACUUAAAGUUGGUUGCUUGUUUUGUCAUUUUGGGGCAUGUAAAUUUUCAAGUCUUUUGAUGUACUAAAUUUACCUUUGGAGUUGAAAUAUUUGGAUGAAGCAUGAAUUAG